rnacentral:rRNA from 1 species
CUUCCGUUGGUGAAACCAGCGGAGGGAUCAUUACCGAGUUUACAACUCCCAAACCCCUGUGAACAUACCACUUGUUGCCUCGGCGGAUCAGCCCGCUCCCGGUAAAACGGGACGGCCCGCCAGAGGACCCCUAAACUCUGUUUCUAUAUGUAACUUCUGAGUAAAACCAUAAAUAAAUCAAAACUUUCAACAACGGAUCUCUUGGUUCUGGCAUCGAUGAAGAACGCAGCAAAAUGCGAUAAGUAAUGUGAAUUGCAGAAUUCAGUGAAUCAUCGAAUCUUUGAACGCACAUUGCGCCCGCCAGUAUUCUGGCGGGCAUGCCUGUUCGAGCGUCAUUUCAACCCUCAAGCACAGCUUGGUGUUGGGACUCGCGUUAAUUCGCGUUCCCCAAAUUGAUUGGCGGUCACGUCGAGCUUCCAUAGCGUAGUAGUAAAACCCUCGUUACUGGUAAUCGUCGCGGCCACGCCGUUAAACCCCAACUUCUGAAUGUUGACCUCGGAUCAGGUAGGAAUACCCGCUGAACUUAAGCAUAUAUUUAAAGCGGAGGA